GCUGGGCAUGGUGGUGCGUGCCUGUAGUCCCAGCUACUCAGGAGGCCGAGGCAAGAGAAUUGCUUGAACCUGGGAGGCCAGAGGUUGCAGUGAGCUGAGAUGGCGCCACUGCACUCCAGCCUGGGUGACAGAGCGAGACUCUGUCUCAA
ensembl:misc_RNA Metazoa_SRP Metazoan signal recognition particle RNA